GACGAACGCUGGCGGCGUGCUUAACACAUGCAAGUCGAACGAAGUGGCGAACGGGUGAGUAACGCGUAUUCAACCUGCCCUUCAGAGGGGGACAACAGUUGGAAACGACUGCUAAUACCGCAUACUGAAGGAGGGGAUUGCGUCUGAUUCGCUAGUUGGGGGGGUAACGGCCCACAAAGGCGAUGAUCAAUAGGCGGUCUGAGAGGGUGAACGGGCACAUUGGGAAUGGGAAACGGCCCAGAACCCUACGGGAGGCAGCAGUGGGGGAUCUUCCGCAAUGGACGAAAGUCUGACGGAGCAAAGCCGCGUGAGUGAUGAAGGCCUUCGGGUUGGAAAGCUCUGUUAAGCGGGACGCGGUACCGGAAUAGAAAGCCACGGCUAACUACGUGCCAGCCGCCGCGGUAAUUC
rnacentral:rRNA from 1 species